rnacentral:lncRNA from 1 species
GCGCACCAUGGUGGGAACAAGCUUAGGGGGGCCAAGCCAUGACAUGAGUAACAUAGCCCCAAUGAUUGUUUUGUACCUUCAAACUCAAGGUGAAAGGUUGAGAGGGCUUGUUUACUUCCACCCCAAAACCCAAAAUUUUUUAAGAUUUUCCGUCACAUCGAAUCUUUAGACGUAGACAUGGAGUAUUAAGUAUAGAUGAAAAUAAAACUAACUACACAGUUUAGUCGAAAUGGACGAGACGAAUCUUUUGAGCUUAGUUAGUUUAUGGUUGGACAUAAUUACCACAAACAAAUAAAAAUGCUACAGUAUCUAUGGAGUGAGGGACGAACGGAUAGGAGGGAGAGAGAUGUUUUUUUUUUGCAAGCUAACGCUAGACCAGUUGGUCCAACUGUGCGUUUCACACCCUGCCAAUUAGAGUUUGAAUCUCCUCAUUGGCGUAUUUAUUGGUUGGAGGAGGUGCAAUUUAUCUGCACGUUGAAAAUAUAAGUGAGGUAGAGGUUUGGAGGUUUUCUGCAUGUGAGAAGAUUUUUUUUAUGACGAGGUUUGGAGGUUUUCUGUGAAUUCUUUUUUAAGCUCAAUGUCCAGGAGCUAUAUUACCCCCGCGGGUCAAGCUCUUAGAGAGAUGAUUUUUUUUUGCUCUUUAAUAUUUGAAAUAAAUAAAGAUAAAGAUAUAGUUUUGUCGGUUGCGUGAGCAUAACCAUUUUUCAAUAAUAUAUAUAUUCUGGUACCUUUGGCAUCUGAGUAUCACCUUUAUUUUCAACAAGGUACAUAUGAUUGUUUAAUAUAUGUCUAAAUUAUAGGGGACAGACACAUUAAGCUGAUGGUGCCAUUUCACUCCGUGGAAUAUCACUACAGGUGUUCCCAAUCUCAAGUGGUCCAAACCAAAUCUUAGAAAUAAUGCAUAUCCAUACUGACACACAAACACACGCAAAUUAUUAAAUUAUUUUAUUUUUCUUUACAGAAGAUGUGUUUUCUUUAAUUUGAUCGGUAGAGGAGAUGGUUUCUAGAGAGACGAAAUUUAGUUUUUUUUUCUUAAAAUGAGCUGAGCACUCUACUCCAUUAUUGUUACCGUACCUAUUCCAAGUCUAAGAAGUCUGCUCCCUCAAAGAAAAAGAGGUCUACUAAACCUGGCCCACUGGGCCGUGCAGUUUUCUGACUUCGGACCUGCCCCAAGUUUUUGAGUUUUGACGCAUCUUUCAUUUUUAUUUAAUAAGUAUUAUCUAAUUAUAAACUAAUUAGAUUUAAAAAAUUUAUCCUAUAAAUUAUAUUAUUUAUAUUUAAUAUCCCAUAUGUGUGUCAAAAAAUUAAUGUGAUGGAAAAUUUUGUAAAAAAAAAUUGGAACAAAACAAUGGGCCUAAAUAGUACCAUAUAAAAUGUUUGAGAUUUUUCGUCACAUAAAAUCUUACGACACAUGCAUAUGGUAUUAAAUAAAAAUAAAAGAAAUAACUGAUUGUAUAAUUUAUUUAUAAUUUACGUGAC